rnacentral:rRNA from 1 species
UUAGCGCGGUGGUCCCACCUGACCCCAUGCCGAACUCAGAAGUGAAACGCCGUAGCGCCGAUGGUAGUGUGGGGUUUCCCCAUGCGAGAGUAGGGAACUGCCAGGC